rfam:Phycomyces blakesleeanus NRRL 1555(-) unplaced genomic scaffold PHYBLscaffold_8, whole genome shotgun sequence.
GCCAUGAUAGUAUAGUGGCAGUACGUCGCGUUGUGGCCGCGCUGACCCUGGUUCGAUUCCAGGUCAUGGCA